rnacentral:rRNA from 1 species
ACUCCUACGGGAGGCAGCAGUGGGGAAUAUUGGACAAUGGGCGCAAGCCUGAUCCAGCAAUGCCGCGUGUGUGAAGAAGGCCUUCGGGUUGUAAAGCACUUUUAUCAGGAGCGAAAUACUACGGGUUAAUACCUCGUGGGGCUGACGGUACCGGAGGAAUAAGCACCGGCUAACUUCGUGCCAGCAGCCGCGGUAAUACGAAGGGUGCAAGCGUUAAUCGGAAUUACUGGGCGUAAAGCGUGCGUAGGCGGUCUUUUAAGUCUGCUGUGAAAUCCCCGGGCUCAACCUGGGAAUGGCAGUGGAUACUGGAAGGCUAGAGUGUGUCAGAGGAUGGUGGAAUUCCCGGUGUAGCGGUGAAAUGCGUAGAGAUCGGGAGGAACAUCAGUGGCGAAGGCGGCCAUCUGGGACAACACUGACGCUGAGGCACGAAAGCGUGGGGAGCAAACAGGAUUAGAAACCCUGGUAGUCC